CGCAUUGAAAGAACCACCUGGAUUCCGCUCGUCAUUUCAAAGAUUCAGGCCAUUGCCGUCGUCGAAGUCAACAGUUCCGUCAGGUUUUGACUGAAAAUUGUUCGGCCUUCUCGGCGGAAAACCCCCAGCUGUUCGAUUCGAUCUCGUCUGAACCGACAGCUCUCCGGACAUCGCUGUGAUGGACGACAAUGACUUGGGCUUCUUCGCCACAUUCCUUGGUAUCUUCAUAUUCGUGCUCGUGAUAGCUUAUCAUUUUGUGAUGGCUGAGCCCAAGUAUGACAGGAAAUAGCACAACUCCCCUCGUCUGCUCGGGCAGAGUCGUAGACUGGGCUAAACCAUGUGACUGUUAAUUUUGUGUAUCAACGAAUUUGUAGCGAAGAGAUUGUAAUCUGCUUCUAUGGACAUUGCCAUGAUACGAAAAAAAAUGAGAUGAAUCACUUCAAUCAUCUGCUCUGAGUUCUUCACUGGAGCUGUCA